UUACGGUCAUAUCAUGUUGACACGCCGGUUCUCGUCGAUCACUGAAGUUAAGCAACGUCGUGCCUGGUCAGUAUCUAGAUGUGUAGCCGCUUGAGAAUACGAGUUGUUGUAAG